AGUAGCCGCGGUAAUACGUAGGUGGCAAGCGUUGUCCGGAAUUAUUGGGCGUAAAGGGCUCGCAGGCGGUUUCUUAAGUCUGAUGUGAAAGCCCCCGGCUCAACCGGGGAGGGUCAUUGGAAACUGGGAAACUUGAGUGCAGAAGAGGAGAGUAGAAUUCCACGUGUAGCGGUGAAAUGCGUAGAGAUGUGGAGGAACACCAGUGGCGAAGGCGACUCUCUGGUCUGUAACUGACGCUGAGGAGCGAAAGCGUGGGGAGCGAACAGGAUUAGAUACCCCAGUAGUCCCUGUCUCUUAUACA
rnacentral:rRNA from 1 species